CUACUGCAAUGUUCCGCCUCCUCACAGGCCCCGAGCAACCAUGGACUGAAACCUCUGAGUUGUGAGCCAGAAUAAGCCUUUCCUUCCUUGAAGUAUUUUUGUCUGAGGUAUUUCGUCACAGUGGUGGGGAGCUGGCGCUCUCCCUCCCCGUUGUUUAUGAGGACACCGUGCUGUGCGUUCCGAGGCGCGCUUCGUGCUUUCACUUCACAACACAUCCCGGAAGGAGGGCAUUGCACUGCACCUUCCAUGUCCCUUUCCCGUGGAUUCCGCUGAGCAUGUGAAGACAGAAGCGCACAGAGAGACACUUGUUAUGACAAAGACUGAGACUGGAAUUACACUGAAGUAGCCAAGAGUUUGAAUAAACAACCAGAAGCUGGGGCGAGGAGAGCUCGGAGAGAUUUGCUGGAGGCUUUAGUGGGAGCACAGCCCUGCUGACAGUUGGAUUUCUGGCUUCUGGCCUCCAGAACUGGAAGAGAUAAAUUUGUCCUCUGAUACCACCUCGUUUAUGGCACUCUGCUACAGCAGCCUUAGGAAGCCAAUACACCGCCACUUGUGGAUGACACAUAAUAUCGGUGCAACAAACACCAACAGCUCCUAUUUGAGUCUCACUCUGCAGCAGACUGUUUUCAGUGUUUUGACCCAUUCACUAUUCCCUGAGAUUGCCUAGAAGGAAGAUUCUGUAAUUCCUACUUUAUAUUUAGGAAAAUUGAAACUGAGUGCUUGAGCAAGUUCCCCAAACUUACAAAGCUGGUUAAAUGACAGAGACAAAAAUUAUGUGUGCAGGUUUGACUUCAAGCUCUAAUGCUCCUACCCAUACACUGUGCAACUGUUAUGGUAGAUAUUCUGAAAAGUUCAGCGGAUACAUAGAUGGAUGUGUCUGUCAAUCUGGGUUUGGUGCCAGAGCAGAAAGUGAGGGCAAUGAAGCAGAGAGGAGGCGAGAAUGACUGUUAGGUACCUGGUCAGAUGACUCCGAGAGAACAGAAGUCAUGCAUUUAUUCCUGUGAUGCUUUCAGAAAGGAUGAGGCAGUGACUUGCCAGACAGACUGCUAGUCAAAUGGGUCUGGAACAUUAGAGGGUUGUGGAUCAGAAUUACAGGGAUGGAGCCAUCAAUACACCUAGCUGUAGGGGUUUGGAUGCAAUCGUGGAGGAAGAGUGCAGAGGAGGAGAAAAACAGAUUUCUAAAAUGAGCCCCAGGGAACCCUGGAGGAUAAGGUACCUUUCUUUUCUAGCACAUUCUAUAAUGGAAAGUACAAAAGUCAGGUCAUGGUGAGUUAAUGAGUAAACAGAAGACUACCCAAAGGGCAGGCAUGCUGCUACAGUUGAGAGGGGCAAGUGGAGGAGAUGGUGGGCUGUGGCCAGAGAGUUGCAGAAAUGACUACAGCAGCUCAUGGAACCGCCUCCCACCACUGUUGACUCAAGUUCAGAAAAUCUUCAAGCUUGUUAGAUAAAACCAAUAUUAAAAAUUAAGUUGUAUGGCCAGGUGUGGGGGCACAUACCUUUAAUUCCAUCACUCGGAAGACAGAGGCAGAUCUCCAAGUUCCAGGCCAGCCAGGGUUAACAGAGUGAGACCCUGUCUUUAAAAGUUACAGAAACAACUAAAUUAAAUUAAAAAAAACUUGUAAGUUCUUGAAAUUCAUGUUUCUAAUUAUUUUACUACUCUGCGUUCUUUCUUUUUCUUUGAGACAGGGUUUCUCUGUGUAUCUCUGGCUGUCCUGGAACUCACUCUGUAGACCAGGCUGGCCUCAAACUCACAGAGAUCCACCUGCCUCUGCCUCCCCCAAGU
ensembl:lncRNA